CCUUCGAUAGCUCAGUUGGUAGAGCGGAGGACUGUAGAUCCUUAGGUCGCUGGUUCGAUUCCGGCUCGAGGGA